GACGAACGCUGGCGGCGUGCUUAACACAUGCAAGUCGAGCGGUAAGGCCCUUUCGGGGGUACGACGAGCGGCGAACAGGUGAGUAACACGUGGGUGACCUGCCCUCAGCUCUGGGAUAAGCCUGGGAAACCGGGUCUAAUACUGGAUAUGACUCCAUGACGCAUGUUGUGGGGUGGAAAGCCUUGUGCGGCUGAGGAUGGGCCCGCGGCCUAUCAGCUUGUUGGUGGGGUGAUGGCCUACCAAGGCGACGACGGGUA
rnacentral:rRNA from 1 species